UCGAGCUCCUGCUUCCGUGCUCCUGGCCUCGCCGCGCUCUGAGAACACCUUUGAGGCUGCUGGGCCUGCCAGGACUCCCGUGUUACUAGAGGGAGAGCCAGGCGGAGUGACUCCCGGAGUCUGCACCGCGACGAGGGUCCCAGGGUCCUGGCGCCUCCCGAGAGCGGGUAAUUACCGUGACUCACAUUUCAGGGAGGCAUCCACGCCGACAGACGCGCCAACCCUGCUGUGACUCUGAACUGAAGGCAUGAGUUUUUGGGCAUCUCAAGAGAGGAUUUACCUUCUCUCCAAUUAACAAAAGGGAGAGGGGCUACCUUCAUCUUCGUCCAGUCCUCCUGGAAGGGGAUCCUGUCCGCGUCGUCCGUGGAGUUGAGGUGUCUGCUCCUGAACUCGUUUCCCACCUCCCGCAGGUGCCUGGCGAACACCAUGCUGCGACGGGUCUGUGGAAACGGUGACGGCUUGGCUGAGAACAGCCCGCCCGCCAUGCCGCCCUUCUGGAGCGGGUUCUCCCAUAGCUGCCGCCACCCACCCCUGCAGCUGGAACAAGACCCUCAGAGACAUUCCUCAUCAACAGUCGCCCGAGAAGCAGUGCCAUCCACGGUGGAGGCUCUCGAAGGGUCUCCGGCAUGAAGCCAAUGCAGGGCAAGCCGUCCACCCCUGCCAGCUCUGCCAGGCUCCCCCAAGGGAAGCUGUGGCACACACGGGCUCAGCUGGCCGUUGCCCCUGGCUGGCACAACUGUGUGCAGCUCCUUCCCCUCAGUGUCUCCCCAACUUGACUUCUAGCUUUUGCCAAAUGGGGCGGGACCGACCUGCACAAGGCCCCAUGUGAGCAGGGACUGUCUCCUGCAGGCAGGUUCCAGCUUUACAAGCUGCUGCCCUGGUGAACAUGUCAGCAGGCCUGCUGUGCCCACGGGAGGGGGGCAGCCGCUUCCCGCCCUAUACUCCCACUCACUCACAGAACCAGGGUGGCUAUGGAAAGUCACCCCAUCAACACAGAAAUCAACGGCAAUGGGAAAGACCCGCUGCAGAAAACAGUCCCACCUUUCAAAGCUAAAGAAAGGAGAAAGGAGGGGUCUACGUUCCAGCCACUGACGGAGUCACUGACUCGGGGGCUGACUCCAGGGCACCGCCACUGCAUUCAGGGCCUGUGGCAUCAGAGGGGAGAGCUGGGUGGCCCUGUGGGCUCCCGAGGACCUGGCUCUGCGGCCACGUGAGACUCGGGGGCGGCAGAGUCACUGCAGGUGCCCGUAUCCAGGGCUUCAAUUAUGAUUUUAAUCAGCAAAGUUCAAAAGAGCCAACAACUGUUUUAAAUUUUCAAAAACUAAAUAAUAGGCAACAUACACUAAUUUAGAAAGAUGCUCCCGAGGAAACACUCACAUCCCAGUAUUCUUUCCCUCCGUAGUGGUCAUGAAGUAGGUUCUCGGCUCUGUCUAACAUCACGGACCUAUUUUUAAACAACAUGACAAUAGUUAUAAGAGUUAAGGAUGAUGACAGUCACACUCUCAGAGCACAAACUGGGAGAACCCAGGGCCGGGGAAGCAGAGACCAAGUCUUCAAGGGACACCAACCAGGGCGCGUCGGGCGGUUAUGGCUGAGACACAGGCAGGCUGCUGUCUGGCCUCCACACCACAGUUCUGAGGGUUUAACGCCCACUGUCAACUCAGAGAAUGACAUCAGAGAAAAGUAUCUCCUAAUUUGAGGAGUGUAUUUGGGAGUGGGCAGAAGGCUUGGAAUCCAGGAUCCACUGAUGGCUAUGGCAAGCUGCAGUGCGCCUGGAGACGGGAGGCUGUGGGAAGCUUUUCUUUGGCAAAAAGGAGAGGUUCACAUAAGCUGCUUGGAAACAAAUUCACUGACUCGGGCUCAAAGCUGGAGCUGCAUCUGUUCCGUGGUAGAGACGCCAUUCCCGGGCAGGCAUUCUUGCGACAGUGUCUCGUCCGAGUUACUGCAGCCCUUGUCCAUUGGCAAACCUGGUCCCAGGAAUACGUGCACGUGUGAAGCGGUGGCUGUGAAAGUGUGAGGUGCAUGAAAUGUGUGAGGAACGUCCUGGGGUUAUUUCAGAGAGCCCUCCAGCCAGCCUUCAUCUGAGACUCCUGGCAGGCACCUCCUCCUCAGCGCCUUCCUGGGGUUAUUUCAGAGAGCCCUCCAGCCAGCCUUCAUCUCAGACUCCAGCCAGCCUUCAUCUCAGACUCCAGCCAGCCUUCAUCUCAGACUCCUGGCAGGCACCUCCUCCUCAGCGCCUUCCUGGGGUUAUUUCAGAGAGCCCUCCAGCCAGCCUUUAUCUCAGACUCGCAGGCAGGCACCUCCUACUCUGCGCCUUCUUGCUCCAGUUUGGGUCUGACAAGUCAUCCAGGUGCCUGUGACUGUCACGCUAAACGCUACCUAAUUCCAUGUGGGAAGUGCCUCUCCUUUUCCAGCCAUUGAACCAACCGUCUCACCACACUUCCUAGGGCUCUUGAUGCAAAAUAAAAACGAAACGCACAAAACGGAUCGUAAGAAAAGAGACCCGAAUACUGGGGUGGUAAAGGUUGGAAUAAAAAAACCCAGAAAUGUUUAAGGAAAAGACUGAUGAAUUUGACUACAUUAAAAAUUUUAAUUUUGGUCUGGUGCAGUGGCUCACACCUGUAAUCCCAGCAUUUUGGGAGGCCGAGGUGGGCGGAUCACAAAGUCAGGCAAUUGAAACCAAUCGUCCUCUUCUGGGUGGCAUCCUAGUUUUAUGCCCUCAUGGUUCACACACAGUCUCUUCUACACAAACCUGGAAACAACCAAAGGCCACAUUUUCUUCCAUCUGUACACAAACAGCUGCAAAAGAGCGAGGUGAUGUCCACGUGUCGUAAUACCCAGGUGUGCAGCUGGGUGGGAAGAGAAGGGCAAACUGAAAACUGCGUGGACAGCGUGUGUGGUGAUUCCACGUGUUUAAAAAGACGGCCGCAUGCACAGGCGGCGACGUGAGGUGAUUUCUGGAGAGAUGGGCAUAGCUGGAUUCAGUGGGUGCCUCUGGCCCUGCUUCCAACGCCGUUUAAGGCUUUUUGUGAAAUGCAAUACCACACUUCGAGACGCACAUUCCGCACGGGCGCAGGUAGAGGACAUUCCGCACAGGCGCAGGUAGGCAAACUGCUCCAAAACGAACACGGUGCAGCCCCUACCUGGGUGGAGGAACAAGGAGGAACAAAGCCCUUCACACACUUGCUCUGCCCCGUCCUCAGGGGCCUCCCCGGCAUCCCCCAUCUCUACCUCCGAUGCACGGGACUGUCUUUGACCUUCAUGCACAUGGAACAUGACCACAUUUAUCUUUUUCUUUUUUUUUUUUAAACUGGGCAUUGUAUCUUGAUUUCUCUUUGUUGAAAACGGCAGCAGUCUGCCCAUCGUCAGUUGUGGAUCUACCACACUCCAUCCCGUGCGUGGCUGAGGGGUGCACGGGUUUUCCUGGUCCGGGGAGGCCAUGAACAUUCCUGGGCAGGGGUCUGUGGGUGCACGUCCUGCAUUCGGGGUGCACCGGACUCUCAGGGUUUUACCAAAUUCUCGCUCCAGGAGCAGCCUUCCAGCCCCUGUGGACCUGUCGUCCCAACGGUGGAUGGUUUCCUGAGCACGACAGCACUGGGGCACCUGCUCACAUUAACAGCAGCCGUUCUUACUCCUGAAUCACAUGGAUCCCGUCUUAGACUCACCUCACCCCAGGCUGCCCGUCCCUCACUCACUGGGUUUCGUCUCCUGUAUCCCGGAAAGUCCUUAGUUCAUGAAAUGUGCUGCAGGACCUUCCUCUCUGAGGCCUGUCUCCAUUCUUCUAAUGGACAAAAGUUCUUGAUUUUAAAGUAACUGGCUUUACCAAUCUUUCUUUUUUGGUGCGUGCUUUUCCCAUCUUGCUGAAGAAAGCUUCCUGCCCCAAGGUGGUGAGGCUCCUCUCUUAAUGGCUUUAUAGCUUCACCUUCCCAUUAGGGCUUUAACCCCCAUUAGAGACUUUCCCUGGGUGCUGGGGGCAGACGGCCUUGCCCCCACCAUCAGCCUCCUUCCCCUGCAGCCCGGCAGAGGCGUUUCUCCUCAAUCAGGACCAUCUGGCUGGAAGCCCCUCUGGGCUCAGCUCCAUUCUAACCUGCAAAUGUGAAUAGAAAAAACUGACAGGCACGACUGUUCCACAGGCCCCACACGUAGGCAGACUGGCUUCCGAAACCCGGAUAUUUUCAUGAAAUGAACCCAGUCCCAGGACAUUAAAGCUGCAUCUCAACCACCAAAACAAUUCAGCCUAGUUCCCUCCACAACCUGAGUUCUGCUUUUCCGCAACAGCCGGGCUGGCCGAGCAGCAGACACACGGGCCUGUGCUGGAGCCACCUGCCUUCACAAAGGCCCAGAGCAGCUGAGACCACGUGGUCCCGGCCCACUGGGGCCAGUGGCAGCUGUUACUGACCAGAGUGGUACUGAGCCAGCUGUGAUGUCCAAUAGGGUCGCGACUGCCAUGGCUUCUAGAGGCGCACACAGGGCACGAUAGCAGACAAGGCAGCCUCAACCUCAACGUGGGCAAGCGCGAGAGGCACCCAUGCCCUGCUGUGCCCAGUCUGUGGGAGACUGUGGGCGGUAAGCCACCCAGGUGCCGAGGAAAGAGAUCGAGGGCACAAGCUGUUCCAGUAUAAUAAAAUGUGUAAAAUAACAAUAGUUAUACUAGAUAUAGAUAAUAGAUACGAUUAUGUAUGAAUAUCAUUAAUCAUUAGUUUGUAGUAAUUACUCUUUAUUCCAAUAUUAUAAUAAUCCUCGCUCUAUAAUUAUAACUUAGGAAAAACCAGGCCAUACAGAGAUAGGAGAUGAGGGGACAUAGUGAGAAGUGACCAGAAGACAAGAAUGUGAGCCUUCUGUUAUGCCCGGGCAGGGCCACCAGAGGGCGCCUUCGUCUAGCGGUAACGCCAGCGUCAGGGAAGACGUCCGUUGCCAAGUGGACCAUGGUCAAGCGGUAGCGUCAGUGUCAAGGAAAACACCCGCUACUCAGCAGACAGGGAAAAGGAGACUCCCUUUCCCCGGAGGAGUUCAGAGAAGACUCUACUCCUCCACCUCUUGUGGAGGGACUGACUGAUGUCGGGCACACCCGCAGUUAUCCGGAGGCCUGUCUCCCUGUGAUGCUGUGCUUCAGCGGUCACGCUCCUAGUCCGCCUUCACGUUCCAUCCUGUACACCUGGCUCUGCCUUUUAGGUAACAGUAGCAAAUUAGUGAACGUACUAAAAGUCUCUGAUACGCGGAAAUAAUGGCGUAAGCUGUCUCUCUCUCUCUCCUUUCUUUCUCUCUGCCUUGGCUGCCAGGCAGGGAAGGGCCCCCGUCCAGUGGACAUGUGACCCACGUGACUUUACCUAUCAAUGCAGAUGGCUCACAUUCCUUACCCUGCCCCUUUUGCCUUGUAUCCAAUAAAUAUCAGCGCAGCCUGGCAUUCGGGGCCACUACUGGUCUCCGCGUCUCGGUGGUAGUGGUCUCCCGGGCCUAGCUGCUUUUUCUUUUAUCUCUUUGUCUUGUGUCUUUAUUCCUACAAUCUCUCGUCUCCGCACAUGGGGAGAAAAACCCACCAACCCUGGGGGGCUGGACCCUACAGGAGAUGCUCACAGCACCUGCUGGGGGACUCAGAAGAAGAUCCAAGGGAGGUGACGGAGAGGGUCCCAGUCUGCAGCAAGUUCUAAGAACAUGGUCAUCAACAGUUCCCUCCGGAGUUUAUGACAUCAUCAGGUACCGACUUGUCUGCAACCCCAGCCGCCUGGGUGGACCCUCGCGGCCCAGCUCACCAGGCCGGCGGCCACUUGUGGCAGACGCAUGGCCAAAGGUGGCUGCACGAUCCUCUCCAGACCCAUGAGGCAGCAGACAGAUCAAACGGUCCCUUCUUUCCAUCCCUCUGCAUAACUUUGUAGGACGUAAACCUGGUCAAUAAAGGGCCCACCAGACUCUGAAAAACACCAAGAGAAGCCGGGCAGCAUGACAGCAAUUGGAAGCUCACUUACGGGCACGCAUCAGCCACCAGCAGUGCUCCUCACCACCUGGGCCACCAUCUACUGCACUGGUGUCCUGCCUCCCCCAGGGACAGGAGCUCAGGCGAGCAGGAAUCGUGCCUCUUACCCACGGCCCAACCCACAUGGAGAAGGUGACACUGCGUUGCCCAAGAGAUCAGCAAUCAAGAUCUGCUCAAGGGGGCAGGAACACAGCGGGGAAAGAGCACGGCACAGGUGAAGUUCUGGGGAAGGAGCACUGCAGGAAAGGAGCACCGUGCAGGCAAGGAAACAGCUCAGCAAAGCCCCAGGCUGGUAGACUGCAGGGAAGCGUGAGGCCAGCAUAUCCGCCUCAGAAGCUCAUCACAUGGGGUCUGUCUUCCCAGACCUUCCCAAGCACUUGGAUGCCCAAGGCCCAGACCUGCCCGCUUCCCUGUCAGGAAACCCACUGGUCCCAAAGGGAGCUUUCAUCUUCCAGGACUCAUGAGCAAGUUGUAAAGUCAACUCAGGAUGCACUCUAGGAAUGCUUUUUACAAGCGGCAGACUUUGUGACUUGGUAUCAACCAGGAUGUCAGAGGUUACUCCCUGUUGUUGCAUGCUCCUAGCACUCACAAGACUGACCCUGCCAGAGAAAACAUUUCAAAGUGACAAGAUCUAGGGUGCAACGAGCACCAUCCUUGAAAAAUGACGGCACGGGAGCCACACUCCUUGGCAGGGAGCAAAGGUCUCUAAGCCCCAAGAGUGGCUGUCCAGUAAGAACUCAACAGUUGCUGGAAAGCAGGAGCCUGACUCAAAACUAACUCAUUCAUCUUCACGGCUUCUCAAAUGCAGCAGCAAAGCAUCACUUACUUUUAAAUUUAUGUCUUCCAAAUGACACAACACAAAAAGCUCUGAAUACCUUCAUUCUAAGAAGAGCUUUAAUUCCUCUCCUAAAAUUAAAUGAAAAAAUUAAGCAACACAAAGUUAAACAAGACAGACCUUUAUCCCUGGUGCUGCACAGCGACACCACGAAGCAUACUCUGCACGCAGCACGUCAUCCUUAGCGUAAAACAGCCUUUCGCACAGGGAGCUGAGUCCUGUCGGUCCAGCACCCGGGGUGGCCGCUUUCUUAGGGUGUUAGGGCGGCUCUAACUGCAUUCACCUACUCAUCAGGCCACCGUGGGUUCCAGAAGUGAGGGGGCACAAAGCUCAUCCACUUCAGGUCUAUUUUCCGAGAAACAUUUUGGGAAGCUCACUGCAGCAUGGGAAAGGGACUGUGCUCCUGAGUGGAAGAGGUGCUGCCACAGGCCUCAGGCAGCAGCGCUGGGCACUGGAGGAUGCUGGUGAGUCUGGAUGAAGUCGCAAGCCCAACCUGAUGUCUACCUUAGAAAUGAUUGCCCGGCCCCAGUUAAAAAACCACAGCCUCCCAGCGUGCCGCUCGGCCUCACCUGCGAUGAACUGCUCAUACUCGAUGACGGGGAUGUUUUUAUUGAGACUCGGAAGAUCAAAAAACUCAGACCAGGGAAUCCGGACCUGGUGGAUGUCAGGACUCUGCCAGUGAUAGAGGCGGCCCCACGGAGGCAGGACAAGCACCCACUCCUCCGUCUUCAGCAGAGUCUUCAGGAGAGAGGCGAUUCGGAUAUAGACAUCCCUGCGCAGGUUGAAGCCUUCCGGGGGGUUGACGUCAUACAGAAGAUACCUGAGCAGGCAGAAUGAGGACCACAGGUCUCGAAUGCUGGGGUUUCUGCACGGAAAACCUGACUACUCAGAAGUCUCAGCGUAUGGCCCAACUCUAGGCGCUUAAGAUGGUCCCCACUUUGUGAAGGCAGUGAGUGGCCUGUUUCUCUACGACCAGUUACUUAUGGAGCCCGUAAGCAGAAACAGCAGACAUGCUAACGUCCUUUUAACAACUAGCAAUAGUUCAACACUAAGGCUAGAGGAAUCCCAGUGACUAGAACCCAAGAAUCAGUACCCACAUGGUUCUCAAACUGUUUGGUCUAAAGACCCCUUUACACUGGAAACAAUGAUUGAUGGCUGGUUAUGUGCAGUAUGUCUAUUGAUAUGUCCUAUAUUAGACAUUAAAGCUACAAGUAUUUAAUUCA